rnacentral:misc_RNA from 1 species
AAAGUCGUAACAAGGUUUCCGUAGGUGAACCUGCGGAAGGAUCAUUAUUGAAUAAACUUGGUUAGGUUGUUGCUGGCUCCUCGGGGCAUGUGCACGCCGACUCCAUUUUUAACCACCUGUGCACCUUGCGUAGAUCUGACAAUCUCGAGGAAACUCGGUUUGAGAAUUGCUGUGCGAUAAAAGCCAGCUCUUCUUGUAAUCAGGUCUAUGUUUCUAUAUACCCCACAUGAAUGUAUUAUGAAUGUCGUAACUGGCCUUCGUGCCUUUAAAAACAAAUACAACUUUCAACAACGGAUCUCUUGGCUCUC